AUUGAACGCUGGCGGCAUGCUUUACACAUGCAAGUCGAACGGUAACAGGGAGCUUGCUCCGCUGACGAGUGGCGAACGGGUGAGUAAUGCAUCGGAACGUACCGUGUAAUGGGGGAUAACGUAGCGAAAGUUACGCUAAUACCGCAUACGCCCUGAGGGGGAAAGUGGGGGACCGCAAGGCCUCACGUUAUACGAGCGGCCGAUGUCGGAUUAGCUAGUUGGUGGGGUAAAGGCCUACCAAGGCGACGAUCCGUAGCGGGUCUGAGAGGAUGAUCCGCCACACUGGAACUGAGACACGGUCCAGACUCCUACGGGAGGCAGCAGUGGGGAAUUUUGGACAAUGGGGGCAACCCUGAUCCAGCCAUGCCGCGUGAGUGAAGAAGGCCUUCGGGUUGUAAGACUCUUUUACCUAGGAGUGAUAAUAGACAGUACCUGGAGAAUAAGACUCCGGCUAACUCCGUG
rnacentral:rRNA from 1 species